rnacentral:rRNA from 1 species
CUUUAGGGUAUUAUCUAAAGUUAAACCUGCCCAAUGUAUAAUAAUUAAUGGCCGCGGUACUUUGACCGUGYUAAGGUAGCGCAAUCAAUUGGCUCUUAAUUGGAGUCGGGUAUGAAUGGAAUUACGGAGUUUUUCUGUCUCUUUAUUAGUUUUUUGAAGUUWCUAUGCAGGUGAAAAAGCCUGAGUUUAGAAAAAAGACRAGAAGACCCUUAGAGUUUUACUUAAAUUGGGRAAUAACUUUAUACCUUUAAUAGUUUAGKUGGGGCAACAUAGGAGAAAAUUAAUCUCCUUAAUAUAAUUAACCGAUAAUUUUAAAUUUGGAUAAACUACCUUAGGGAUAACAGCAUAAUUUAUUAAUUAAGUUUGUGACCUCGAUGUUGGACUAGGAAACUUAAGGGCUAGCCGUUCUUAGGGAAAGUUCUGUUCGAACUAUUAUUCC